rnacentral:lncRNA from 1 species
AUAUAUUAUUGGUAUUAUUGUUAGCAUAUUUUUAAGUGAUAUAUUAUUAUUAUAUAUUAUUAUAUUGUUAUUAAUUGUUAUUAUUAUAUAAACAAAGUCACAAUCAUGACUUAUUUAAAUUUUAUAUUCAAUUUUCAUUUUUAUUAUUAGGUUUUUUUUAAAAAAUAAUUAUUUUUUUAUUUAUGUAUUAUUAUAAAAGAAAAGAGUCAUAAAAAAUGAAUAAAAAGUUUUUAUUUCAAUUUUAAAGUUAAUUUUCGUUUUUCUAUUUUAAGAAUUUU